CUAGUAAGUAAUUAUUCAAUAUCCUGUCAAUUUUGAAUAAUUUAAUUGAAUGAUGAAUUUAAUAAUUUCGGUUCUAUUAACCAUUUGUUAUUAUUUUAUUUAUAAUAAGUACAAUUUAGUCAGAGUCCAAGUUCAUUUUGAAGCAAAUAAUUUGUGUUGGGAAUUUUUAAAAAAAUGCCGUAUAAAGAUAUUGGACAACAGUUACAUUUAAAUUACAACUUCAACUAAAGUUAAUAUUAGUUAAACUGUCAACAGAGCUAAACGACCACUCCCUCAAUGCUGAAAUUCAAUACUGAAACACAACCGAUCAGUCCAAAUGUUUAAGAAUGACGAUUCCAUGACAGUUUACAAUCAUAACAAUUAGAUAUUCUCCAACUUGCUGGACAUUACCCGCUAUUAAAAAAUACAAAUUGGUUAUCAAUUCAAACAAUAUAAACCAUUAUAAAAACUAUAGAUUAAUGAACUUCAACGAUAACCAACCAUAAUAAAAUAAAUCUUAUAGACAACAUGAAUUAUUAUGGUGAUGAAGAAACAGAUUCCAAAGAUGAUCCUUAAAUAUCCAUUUGUAAAACUGAAAAAUACACAAACAUAUAUUAUGAAUAUAAUUAAUACGAAAUAAGACUUGGUCGGAUAAUAAAUAUUUACCUGUUUUAGUUAACAUUUUAUUGGCAUAUUCAGUAACUUGCAUUCGAGCGUCUAGGUAAAAUGAUGGUCGAUAUAGAAAAUACUGCAUGACACUUGGAAAUAUUAAACAAACGCACUUGGAUUAGCGGCCAAAUAGUGAUUUUAUUACCAAUGUAAGAACCUAGAAUAAAGUUCAAUAAUAAUACAAUACAUAUCAAUUAUCCUUAUCAUUUUUUUUUAAUAGAAUAUAAUGAAAUGUUUUAAUACAUUUACAGCCGAUAAAUUAUGUUAUAAAGCUUUUUGUAACUGUGUUACAUAUUUAUCGUAAAUAUAUUUGUAUUCAAAAACAAAAUUAAACAUUUUACAAGGCCA